GAUGAACGCUGGCGGCGUGCCUAAUACAUGCAAGUCGAGCGAACAGACGAGGAGCUUGCUCCUCUGACGUUAGCGGCGGACGGGUGAGUAACACGUGGAUAACCUACCUAUAAGACUGGGAUAACUUCGGGAAACCGGAGCUAAUACCGGAUAAUAUAUUGAACCGCAUGGUUCAAUAGUGAAAGACGGUUUUGCUGUCACUUAUAGAUGGAUCCGCGCCGCAUUAGCUAGUUGGUAAGGUAACGGCUUACCAAGGCAACGAUGCGUAGCCGACCUGAGAGGGUGAUCAGCCACACUGGAACUGAGACACGGUCCAGACUCCUACGGGAGGCAGCAGUAGGGAAUCUUCGGCAAUGGGCGAAAGCCUGACGGAGCAACGCCGCGUGAGUGAUGAAGGUCUUCGGAUCGUAAAACUCUGUUAUUAGGGAAGAACAGAUGUGUAAGUAACUAUGCACGUCUUGACGGUACCUAAUCAGAAAGCCACGGCUAACUACGUG
rnacentral:rRNA from 1 species